rnacentral:rRNA from 1 species
GACGAACGCUGGCGGCGUGCUUAACACAUGCAAGUCGAACGGAAAGGCCUCUUUCGGGGGGUACUCGAGUGGCGAACGGGUGAGUAACACGUGAGUAACCUGCCCUUGACUUUGGGAUAACUUCAGGAAACUGGGGCUAAUACCGGAUAGGAGCUCCUGCUGCAUGGUGGGGGUUGGAAAGUUUCGGCGGUUGGGGAUGGACUCGCGGCUUAUCAGCUUGUUGGUGGGGUAGUGGCUUACCAAGGCUUUGACGGGUAGCUGGCCUGAGAGGGUGACCGGCCACAUUGGGACUGAGAUACGGCCCAGACUCCUACGGGAGGCAGCAGGGGGGAAUAUUGCACAAUGGGUGGAAGCCUGAUGCAGCAACGCCGUGUGCGGGAUGACGGCCUUCGGGUUGUAAACCGCUUUCGCUCAUGACGAAGCUUUGUGUGACGGUAGUGGGUAAAGAAGCACCGGCUAACUACGUG